rnacentral:rRNA from 1 species
GGAUAAAGACGGUACCCAAGGAACAAGCCACGCCUAACUACGUGCCAGCAGCCGCGGUAAUACGUAGGUGGCGAGCGUUGUCCGGAAUUACUGGGUGUAAAGGGCGGGUAGGGGGGGAGGCAAGUCAGAUGUGAAAUUCCGGGGCUCAACCCNGGCGCGGCAUUUGAUACUAAAUUUCUUGAGUGGAGGAGAGGAAAGGGGAAUUCAUAGUGUAGCGGUGAAAUGAGUAGAGAUUAGGAGGAACACCAGUGGCGAAGGGGGCUUUCUGGUCAGUAACUGACGUUGAGGCGCGAAAGCGUGGGGAGCAAACAGGAUUAGAUACCCUGGUAGUCCACUC